rnacentral:rRNA from 1 species
GAGUUUGAUCCUGGCUCAGAACGAACGCUGGCGGCAUGCCUAACACAUGCAAGUCGAACGAACUCUUCGGAGUUAGUGGCGCACGGGUGCGUAACGCGUGGGAAUCUGCCCUUGGGUACGGAAUAACUCAGAGAAAUUUGUGCUAAUACCGUAUAAUGACUCCGGUCCAAAGAUUUAUCGCCCAAGGAUGAGCCCGCGUAAGAUUAGCUAGUUGGUGGGGUAAAGGCCUACCAAGGCUACGAUCUUUAGCUGGUCUGAGAGGAUGAUCAGCCACACUGGGACUGAGACACGGCCCAGACUCCUACGGGAGGCAGCAGUGGGGAAUAUUGGACAAUGGGCGAAAGCCUGAUCCAGCAAUGCCGCGUGAGUGAUGAAGGCCUUAGGGUUGUAAAGCUCUUUUACCCGGGAUGAUAAUGACAGUACCGGGAGAAUAAAGCUCCGGCUAACUCCGUGCCAGCCGCCGCCGUAACG